rnacentral:tRNA from 1 species
GGGGAUAUAGUUUAACCAGGUAAAACAUAUGUUUUGCACACAUAAGAGUAUUGGUUCAAAUCCAAUUAUUUCCA